rnacentral:rRNA from 1 species
GUGGGGAAUCUUGCGCAAUGGGCGAAAGCCUGACGCAGCCACGCCGCGUGAAUGAUGAAGGUCUUAGGAUUGUAAAAUUCUUUCACCGGGGACGAUAAUGACGGUACCCGGAGAAGAAGCCCCGGCUAACUUCGUGCCAGCAGCCGCGGUAAUACGAAGGGGGCUAGCGUUGCUCGGAAUUACUGGGCGUAAAGGGCGCGUAGGCGGACAGUUUAGUCAGAGGUGAAAGCCCAGGGCUCAACCUUGGAAUUGCCUUUGAUACUGGCUGUCUUGAGUGUGGGAGAGGUGAGUGGAACUCCGAGUGUAGAGGUGAAAUUCGUAGAUAUUCGGAAGAACACCAGUGGCGAAGGCGACUCACUGGCCCAAUACUGACGCUGAGGCGCGAAAGCGUGGGGAGCAAACAGGAUUAGAAACCCGGGUAGUCC